rnacentral:rRNA from 1 species
GCAAGGUGAGUGGCAGACGGGUGAGUAACGCGUGGGAACCUACCCAGUUCUACGGAACAACUGAGGGAAACUUCAGCUAAUACCGUAUACGCCCUACGGGGGAAAGAUUUAUCGGAAUUGGAUGGGCCCGCGUUGGAUUAGCUAGUUGGUGGGGUAAUGGCCUACCAAGGCGACGAUCCAUAGCUGGUCUGAGAGGAUGAUCAGCCACACUGGGACUGAGACACGGCCCAGACUCCUACGGGAGGCAGCAGUGGGGAAUAUUGGACAAUGGGCGAAAGCCUGAUCCAGCCAUGCCGCGUGAGUGAUGAAGGCCUUAGGGUUGUAAAGCUCUUUCAGUGGGGAAGAUAAUGACGGUACCCACAGAAGAAGCCCCGGCUAACUUCGUGCCAGCAGCCGCGGUAAUACGAAGGGGGCUAGCGUUGUUCGGAUUUACUGGGCGUAAAGCGCACGUAGGCGGAUUGUUAAGUGAGGGGUGAAAUCCCGGGGCUCAACCUCGGAACUGCCUUUCAUACUGGCAAUCUAGAGUCCGGAAGAGGUGAGUGGAACUCCUAGUGUAGAGGUGGAAUUCGUAGAUAUUAGGAAGAACACCAGUGGCGAAGGCGGCUCACUGGUCCGGUACUGACGCUGAGGUGCGAAAGCGUGGGGAGCA